UGGGGGUUUCUGGCUAAUCAACUUAGUGCCAGGUACACAGGAGGCAUUUGAUAGGUGACAGUCAUCACAAACUCAGGUGGCCCCUCUCCCCCAGGCUGCAGUCAGUUACCCCAGAGAGUAGCUGCCUCCUGUGAGUGCAGGUCCUGGAGAUGAUACGCUGGGGUGGAUGGCAGGUCAUCCAGGAAGGGCCAUGUGGGUGUGAAGAGCUCAAAGUAGCCAGACUUGCCAAGCAACUUGUCGACCCCCAAACUACUCCAGGUCUCCAGUGGCUGGUGAUGCUGCGACGGAAGUGGCAGCGCACCUGGCAUCUUCUUAAGUGUGUUGUCUUUCAUGAACUCGUGUGACCCCUCACAACAUGCCUGUGAGACACGCAGGGCUAGAGCCACUCUCCCCAUGUGACAGAUGAGUGAACAGAAGCUCAGUCCAACAGAGCAGGUCUGGCUAGAAUUCAGGUGCUUGACUGCCUUCCCUUUCUCCUUCCUCCAGGCAGGUCAUGCCGGUGACACACUGCGUCAGGCAGGCAGAGAAAGGCAGCAUAACCACUCAGCAUAGCAGCUGCUCUGUGUAUGCCUCUGCUUGGUGGUUUGCUGUGUGCCAAUCUUCUGCUAAGCAAUCACAUCUUUCCCGUAAUGUUGACAGCAA
rnacentral:lncRNA from 10 species